UUUUAGAAAUUAAUUUAAGGUCUAAUCUGCCCACUGAUUAAUUAAAUGGCCGCAGUAUUUUAACUGUGCAAAGGUAGCAUAAUCAUUAGUCUUUUAAUUGGAGGCUGGAAUGAAUGAUUGAAUGAAAUAUUAACUGUUUCAUAAAAAUUUAUAAUAUAAUUUAAUUUUUUAGUUAAAAAGCUAAAAUAAAUUUAAAAGACGAGAAGACCCUAUAAAUCUUUAUAUUUUUAUAAUUAUAAUUAUUUUGAUAAAUUAAAUUAUAAUUUAUUUAAAUAUUUUAUUGGGGUGAUAUUAAAAUUUAAUAAACUUUUAAUUUAUGAUUUACAUUAAUUAAUGAAUUUAUGAUCCAUAUUUAAUGAUUAAUAAAUUAAGUUACUUUAGGGAUAACAGCGUAAUUUUUUUAGAAAGUUCUUAUUAAUAAAAA
rnacentral:rRNA from 1 species